AUAUACUUCUCUGUAAGAGUCAAAAUCUGCUUCUCACUGUGGCGAAAGCCAGACCACGGGUAGCCCUACAUGGAAGUUGUACAGCCAGCAGAGAGCACAGGAGCAGAGUUAUGGCAAGAGGCACAUCACCGGGUCUCUGAUGAGAUCAGCCAUGGAUACUGUGGAGUGAGAAGGAAGUCCCUUAUCACAGCACACAUGGGGUGAUGUUCAGUGCAUGUUGAAGGUUUCCAGCAACUGAUUAAUUACCCCAUCAUACCAGAGUAGCAUUCAGCAUUGCUGUGUCAGUCCAGGGAGCCUUGUUGUAAAAUUUAGGUCUUACCAAUUCCUGCAAAGCACCAGAAGCCACAGAUAUCUGUCUUCCACUGGUGACGUAAAGACACAUAAUCAUGGUUAGAAAAUAUUUCAAGGAUGCAUUAGUGUUUCACUAACGUAAAUGUGAUAUUUACGUAUAGGUAAUAUUCUAAGUGGCAUCUUCGUGGUUCCCCUACAAUUAAAAUAAUCAGUGGAAAGAUGCCUUCUCUUUUUUUUUUUCAGCAGUACAUUUGAUAUCUCAGCCAUUUAACACAGCAUUGAAAACAUUUUCUUUCGUGCUUUAAACCUAGAUUUGAAUAUAUCUAUUUUCUAUGAACCGAGUUCAGUACAAACAUGAUAAAAUUCUCACUAAAGGAAAGAAGCACCUGGUGUAUACUGAACUUGCUUAGGAGAUGGAUGGGAGGCACUGCAAAAAGUUGACUCAGCAAGAAAUCUUUCUGCAGAUUUUCAAGGAAAGGCUUUUUGCUCUUGCAUCUUUACAAACAUCUCUGGAUAUACUACAACAGCCCUAUAUGUAGACACACUUAUCCUGGAAUUGGCUGCUUUUCUAUUCACUGAGGCAGGAAAAAAAAGAUAUUUUUCCCCCAGAACACAGGAAUGACAUGAACAGCAAUACCUGCUGAAAUUCAUGCAUACCCUAGUGCUGUAUACUGUAUGCAUACUGUCACAUUUUUUUCAAAUGGAGAAAUACUAAAUUUAUUUCCACGUGUGGCCCUCUUGUAUCACUUAGCAUUGAUGUAUUAUUAAGGAAAGCCACGACUACCUAUGACUGCGUUGCACAUUCUGCAGGAACACACCUACUAGCCCUGAUAACAUGGCCAUGUGAUUUGCAUAAUAACUUUCUGUCUAUCUAAAUUCACGUUUCUAUUACAACUGUGCAUGCGAUUCCUAGUGUUUUUCUCUGCUGUUAAACAGAUGCUGCAUUUCAGACUUGGUGAAAUAGUUCUCUCUCUCUAUUUUUUUUUCCCUUCACAGAACUGCUUUGGGAUCUCUUUAGCUGAAAGAUAGCAUAUAAAUGCAAAUCACCCUUGGCCACAUAGCCCAGAAUUACUUUUGCAUUUUAUUCUUGAUCUGCUUCUGUAUAUAGAGCAUUCCUGAAAGACAGUGAAAUUAGAUUUACUCAUAUGGCUGACCUGCUUUGAGGAAAACAAACACAUGAUAGCCUUGUGCUACAUGAAUGUCAUGAUCUAAUGAAUGAUCCUGCUGAAAAGUAUCUCCUUUAAUUAAUUACUGACAAGACAAUUUCAUUUCAUUUAUAGCUUUAGAAAACAAACAAAGCAAAAAAUCCCAAAGCCUACAUAUAUGUAUGUCACACCUUCUCAAGUUUCUUUUUUCCCUAGUGUUAUUAACACAGAUAUAUACAUUUGCACCAAUAAUUGCUCUUUGUUUGAAUCCUUUUAAGCAAGUCUCCUUUAGUAAUGACUAUCACAAAACAUAUUCUGGCAGAAUAUGCAAAUUCUGCAAAAGAUAAGUCUGUUUAUGUUACUCAGUAAAGACAUAACGUUUACUCAAGAACAGAAACUCUACCUGCAUGCAAAUUAAAUUUAGAGCACUCCUUUGCAGAUAGUUAAAGUCUGUCAGGCCAGGGGCAAUCCAUGAAUGUGACUGCAGUGAUGGAAGGUAAAGUGAGUAAGAAGUCUGAUCUGCAGACAGUGCACAUGUACCCGAUGCAGGAAAAUUCCCUCCAUGGGAUUGUCAAUGGUUUGUUCACCAUCCACAAGAAUUGGCUUCCUGUGUUAUGAAACUUUGGAAAAGCAGACAGAAAAGAAAUACGAAUAAAAACGAAACUCCAAUUAAAAGAGCUAGAGCCAAGUGCUUACUGCAUCACGUCUUUCAUUUGCUUUCAUUGAGUCAUGGCUAGCAGGUGUCACCUAUGGUUUCAGAUCCCGCAUAUUCCUGGCACUGCCCACGUGCCAGCAAGGGGUUUAGGUGAAUACUCUCCCAGUUGUAGGCUGAUAGGCAUAGUGGCAAAGCAUGGAUAGUGCUGGUGUGACUUCCAUGGGAGACCGAAGUACUCACUGGGAAGCAGAUGUUGCAGUGAAGAUGUAAAAGCAGCACAUGUAACUAUGGCAUAGCCAAGGACCACAGAAGGAACGGGAGUUUCUUCAUGUGCCUCUGAUGGGGAAGAAAGCAAGCAGCAGUUGUGCUGAGGAAGCAGCUCAGGACAGAUUUACCAGCAAACCAGAUCACUUCAGGGCUUGCCCAGCUGAAAAUGAAGAGAUAAUGUAGAGAGGCAGAGUGCAAACCAGCAUGUAAAUAUUCAUUUUAUCACCUCUCAUCUUGUGAGAAAUGUGUCGUGGCUUCCUCCAUACCUACAGUUGCUCAGGGCUCUUGUUUCAUAGCUAAAGAUAAUUCUCCUGGUAGCAUGAUACAAAACAGUGGUGGAUUGUUUGACUCCAGAAGCUGGCUACCAACGAACCAGCUUUAUUUCCUCCCUACAACUCUCCACGCAUUCCAGGACUGGACCUCAUGCAUUGCAGGAGCACAGGGAGGGAUGCAGGAGCAGCAGGCAAUUUGUUGGCACCAUUUGGCCUUGACACAAAGAGAUGAGCUGAGGAAUUUUGGAAGGCCUUACGGACAGCCAACAGAAGGAUGCUUGUGACAGCCAGGCUGGGAGCAAGGCAAAGGGGAACAAACCCAGAGCAGGACUCUUUAGUAGGGUCUGUUGUGACAAGACAAGGGUAAAUGGUUUCAAACUAAAAGAGGGGAGAUUUAGAGUGGACAUAAGGAAGCAGUUAUUUACAAUAAGGGCAGUGAAGCACUAGAACAGGUUGCCCAGAGAGGUGGUGGGUGCCCAUCGACACAGACAUGCAAGGUCAGGCUGCAGGGGGCUCUGAGCACCCUGAUCUGCUGUAGGUGUCCCUGUUCAUUGCAGGGCAUUUGCACUAGGUGGCCUUUGGGGAGCCCUUCCAGAUCAAAUGAUUUCAUGAUUCUGUAAAAAAAGAUCUCCAGAACUUCAGAAGCAGCAAAUAUCCUCUGUGCACACUCCCUAGGUCGUGUAGCUGGCCAUGGGUGACACUGAUCGCUCCAGCAGACACGACGUGCUGCCACUGUGUCAUGCAUGGCGCCUCGGCAGAUGCGCUCCUCCCAGAGCCAAUGUAUGUAAGUACUGAUCUUAUUGACUCUGAUACCAAUGGACGCGAUGUGACGCUGGAAUAAAGCCACAGCUGUGCCUCGCAGAAACCAGGGGGAACAAAACACCGGCAAGCUCUGGAGGCAACGCUUUCUCCGCGGGACCUCGUCCUGCUGGUUGUCUCCUUAACAACGCCGAUCUCAGAGGGAACGCGGGGGCCUCUCUCCGCCCCACCUGAGGAUGUCUGCACACAAACCCCG
ensembl:lncRNA